CAGCGGGGGUUAAACCCGCCCGGGAACUGGUUCGCUCCACCCGGUAGCAAUCAGAGCAGCGGUGGAGGCAACGAGACUGCUGAAGCCUCUGGUGCAGAGAGUCGCUAGGCGACUUGGCGAGCGUGUAGGCCGUAACGUGA
rfam:Acidobacteria bacterium 13_2_20CM_2_57_6 13_2_20cm_2_scaffold_34, whole genome shotgun sequence.